UUGCCCUAACCUACACCUCUAGCCCUCUGCAGCAGUGAGAAGAGUGUCUUGCUGUACUCUUAUCCAUUUCAGCCACAGGUCCUUCCCUUUUACACUGUGCUUUGUUGCUUUCUUUUCAGCCAUUUAAGACCAAGUGCUAUUGUCCUCUGCUGCUGCUGCUGCUGCUGCUGGAGCACGGCAAGACUUUGAAACAGUCUCCAUGACAAUCAGAGAGAUGCAGUCUGGAUCCUAAUGGGGGUGAUACAUGGCUGUGAUUGUAUCCUGCAGAGCAAGGAGGUAGCGGUUAUCCUACAGAAGGAAAUGUAGAACAAGAUGUGCAGAUUUGGAGACGAUGUGGAACUGACAACCUGAGAAAUGCCAUCCAUAAAGGAAACCUUAUUUCUCUACAGCCCAAAUCUGAAGAAGUGUGUCCUAGGCUUCAGAUACAAAAUUUCUAGAAUGGAGAGAUUACCACUGAAGGGUGUGUGAGAUCCAGUGACGGACACAUGACACACCCAGCCUACAAAGCUCUCCCAUCCACAUUACAGGGACUUGGGAUCACAGAGGGCCUGGAAACUCCUGGGGAUACUGACACUAAAAAAGAGAAUGGAAGCAGUCAGGUCAGCUGCCUGCUGAAGAUGCUAGGAAGAAUGUGAAUGAAGCUUGAAGAAAACAAAUAUGAAGAAAGUGAAUGAAGCUUAAAGCAAGACAGGUAUUAAUGACUGAGUUGUGGUAAGGCAAAAGGAGAGCACCAGUCUGGAGAGAAAUAAGAGGCAGUGAAUCUUCUGUAAGGCUUUUAAAAAUAAAAUAUUGACUAUUUUAAAUUAAAAUAUUAUAAAAUAUUUAAAGUAAAAUAUAUAAAAUAUCAUAAAAUAUUGCUCAUUUGGAUGCUGCCCAGCCACCUUCACACAUGAACACUCUCCAUUGACACACACUUCUGUGCCUCCUACUCAGCUUUCCUCAGGAGGGUCAUGGCAAAAUGAGGCUGAGAAAUAGGAAAUCUACCAUUUUCUAAGCUGAGAAGAGCAGUGCCAGGAUCAAUACAGCAUGAAACAAGCAUUGGACACAGCCUAACCACAGUCUCUAAAGCCUUCAUUGCAGCUUUUCUUUGUGGUUUUGGAACAUCUCUGAAAGAGAAGAAACAAUUUCCUUCUUAUUGCAAGCAAUACCCAUAAAAGUUAUUUUAAUGUAGAGAAACAAAAGUGUUUCCAAAGUGUUCAAAGGGGUUCUGAAGGACA